UUUUGAUUCGUCUAGUGGUUAAGAUACCUGCUUGUCAUUCUGUUAAUAGUCUGUUAUGAUAAAAUACGCAGGUGGCCGGGGUUCAAUUCCCCGAUCGAGAC